rnacentral:rRNA from 2 species
AGGUUAAGUUAACAAGGGCGCAUGGUGAAUGCCUUGGCACUAGGAGCCGAUGAAGGACGGGACUAACACCGAUAUGCUUCGGGGAGCUGUACGUAAGCUAUGAUCCGGAGAUUUCCGAAUGGGGCAACCCAGCAGUUUUAAUCAACUGUUACCACUAGAUGAAUUCAUAGUCUAGUUGGAGGUAAACGCUGUGAACUGAAACAUCUCAUUAGCAGCAGGAAUAUAAAGAAAUUUCGAUUCCCUAAGUAGCGGCGAGCGAACGGGGAACAGCCCAAACCAAAGUGCUUGCACUUUGGGGUUGUAGGACUGAACAUUUGAGUUACCAAAGAACUUGAUAGUCGAAGGAUUUGGGAAAAUCCGCCAUAGAUGGUGAUAGCCCAGUAGAUUAAAUCAAAUUCUCUCAGUUCAGGAUCCUGAGUACGGCGGAACACGUGAAAUUCCGUCGGAAUCCGGGAGGACCAUCUCCCAAGGCUAAAUACUACCUAGUGACCGAUAGUGAACCAGUACCGUGAGGGAAAGGUGAAAAGCACCCCGGGAGGGGAGUGAAAUAGUUCCUGAAACCAUGUGCCUACAAUAAGUCAGAGCGCGUUAAUGCGUGAUGGCGUGCCUUUUGUAGAAUGAACCGGCGAGUUAUGAUCCCGUGCAAGGUUAAGACUAAAAAGUCGGAGCCGUAGCGAAAGCGAGUCUGAAAUGGGCGUUUUGAGUACGAGGUUAUAGACCCGAAACCAGGUGACCUAUCCAUGUCCAGGUUGAAGGUGCGGUAAAACGCACUGGAGGACCGAACCCGUGUAAGUUGAAAAUUGCUGGGAUGAGGUGUGGAUAGCGGUGAAAUUCCAAACGAACUUGGAGAUAGCUGGUUCUCUCCGAAAUAGCUUUAGGGCUAGCCUCGGAAUUAGGAUCAUGGAGGUAGAGCACUAUUUGGACUAGGGGCCCGUCUUGGGUUACUGAAUUCAGAUAAACUCCGAAUGCCAUUGAUUCAUAUCCGGGAGUCAGACGAUGAGUGAUAAGAUCCACCGUCGAAAGGGGAACAGCCCAGACCAUCAGUUAAGGUCCCUAAAUGUAUGCUAAGUGGAAAAGGAUGUGGAGUUGCAUAGACAACUAGGAUGUUGGCUCAGAAGCAGCCACCAUUUAAAGAGUGCGUAAUAGCUCACUAGUCGAGUGAUCCUGCGCCGAAAAUGUACCGGGGCUAAGCAUACUACCGAAACCAUGGAUGCGACCAUUAGGUCGCGUGAUAGGAGAGCGUUCUAAGGGCGGUGAAGCAAGAUCGUGAGGACUUGUGGAGCGCUUAGAAGUGAGAAUGCCGGUAUGAGUAGCGAAAGAUAGGUGAGAAUCCUAUCCACCGAAUGACUAAGGUUUCCUGGGAAGGCUCGUCCUCCAGGGUUAGUCGGGACCUAAGUCGAGGCCGAGAGGCGUAGACGAUGGAUAACAGGUUGAGAUUCCUGUACUAGUUAAGUGCGUUUGAGCAAUGGAGGGACGCAGGAGGCUAAGAUGUGCAUUCUGUUGGAUUAGAAUGUCCAAGCAGUAAGUCUUGUGAAGAGUCAAAUGCUUUUCACUUUAAGGACAAGCUGUGAUGGGGAGCGAAAUUUAGUAGCGAAGCGUCUGAUGUCACACUGCCGAGAAAAGCUUCUAGUGAGUACUUAACUACCCGUACCGCAAACCGACACAGGUAGUCGAGGAGAGAAUCCUAAGGUGAGCGAGUGAACUCUCGUUAAGGAACUCGGCAAAAUGACCCCGUAACUUCGGGAGAAGGGGUGCUGAUCGCAAGAUCAGCCGCAGUGAAUAGGCCCAGGCGACUGUUUAUCAAAAACACAGGUCUCUGCAAAAUCGUAAGAUGACGUAUAGGGGCUGACGCCUGCCCGGUGCUGGAAGGUUAAAAGGAUGGGUUAGCUUCGGCGAAGCUCAGAAUUGAAGCCCCAGUAAACGGCGGCCGUAACUAUAACGGUCCUAAGGUAGCGAAAUUCCUUGUCGGGUAAGUUCCGACCCGCACGAAAGGCGUAACGAUCUGGGCACUGUCUCAACGAGAGACUCGGUGAAAUUAUAUUGUCCGUGAAGAUGCGGACUACCCGCGACAGGACGGAAAGACCCCAUGGAGCUUUACUGUAGCUUGAUAUUGAGUGUUUGUACAGCUUGUACAGGAUAGGUAGGAGCCAUAGAAACCGGAACGCUAGUUUCGGUGGAGGCGUUGGUGGAUACUACCCUCGCUGUAUGACCACUCUAACCCGCACCACUAAUCGUGGUGGGAGACAGUGUCAGGUGGGCAGUUUGACUGGGGCGGUCGCCUCCUAAAAAGUAACGGAGGCGCCCAAAGGUUCCCUCAGAAUGGUUGGAAAUCAUUCGCAGAGUGUAAAGGCACAAGGGAGCUUGACUGCGAGACAGACAGGUCGAGCAGGGACGAAAGUCGGGCUUAGUGAUCCGGUGGUACCGUAUGGAAGGGCCAUCGCUCAACGGAUAAAAGCUACCCUGGGGAUAACAGGCUUAUCUCCCCAAGAGUCCACAUCGACGGGGAGGUUUGGCACCUCGAUGUCGGCUCAUCGCAUCCUGGGGCUGUAGUCGGUCCCAAGGGUUGGGCUGUUCGCCCAUUAAAGCGGUACGCGAGCUGGGUUCAGAACGUCGUGAGACAGUUCGGUCCCUAUCCGUCGCGGGCGUAGGAAAUUUGAGAGGACCUGUCCUUAGUACGAGAGGACCGGGAUGGACAUACCUCUGGUGUACCAGUUGUGCCGCCAGGCGCAUCGCUGGGUAGCUACGUAUGGAUGUGAUAAACGCUGAAAGCAUCUAAGUGUGAAACACACCUCGAGAUGAGAUUUCCCAUUCCUUUAUGGAAGUAAGACCCCUGAAAGAUGAUCAGGUAGAUAGGUUAGAAGUGGCAGUGCGGUGACGCAUGAAGCGGACUAAUACUAAUCGGUCGAGGACUUAACCAAG